UACGGAGGGAGCUAGCGUUGUCGAAUUACUGGGCGUAAAGCGCGCGUAGGCGGCUUUGUAAGUUAGAGGUGAAAGCCCGGAGCUCAACUCCGGAACUGCCUUUAAAACUGCAUCGCUUGAAUCCAGGAGAGGUGAGUGGAAUUCCGAGUGUAGAGGUGAAAUUCGUAGAUAUUCGGAAGAACACCAGUGGCGAAGCGGCUCACUGGACUGGUAUUGACGCUGAGGUGCGAAAGCGUGGGGAGCAAACAGG
rnacentral:rRNA from 1 species